rnacentral:rRNA from 1 species
GAUGAACGCUGGCGGCGUGCCUAAUACAUGCAAGUCGAGCGAACGGACGAGAAGCUUGCUUCUCUGAUGUUAGCGGCGGACGGGUGAGUAACACGUGGAUAACCUACCUAUAAGACUGGGAUAACUUCGGGAAACCGGAGCUAAUACCGGAUAAUAUUUUGAACCGCAUGGUUCAAAAGUGAAAGACGGUCUUGCUGUCACUUAUAGAUGGAUCCGCGCUGCAUUAGCUAGUUGGUAAGGUAACGGCUUACCAAGGCAACGAUGCAUAGCCGACCUGAGAGGGUGAUCGGCCACACUGGAACUGAGACACGGUCCAGACUCCUACGGGAGGCAGCAGUAGGGAAUCUUCCGCAAUGGGCGAAAGCCUGACGGAGCAACGCUGCGUGAGUGAUGAAGGUCUUCGGAUCGUAAAACUCUGUUAUUAGGGAAGAACAUAUGUGUAAGUAACUGUGCACGUCUUGACGGUACCUAAUCAGAAAGCCACGGCUAACUACGUG